rnacentral:rRNA from 1 species
AUUGAACGCUGGCGGCAUGCUUUACACAUGCAAGUCGAACGGUAACAGGCCGCAAGGUGCUGACGAGUGGCGAACGGGUGAGUAAUGCAUCGGAACGUGCCCAGUCGUGGGGGAUAACGCAGCGAAAGCUGUGCUAAUACCGCAUACGAUCUAUGGAUGAAAGCGGGGGACCGUAAGGCCUCGCGCGAUUGGAGCGGCCGAUGUCAGAUUAGGUAGUUGGUGGGGUAAAGGCUCACCAAGCCAACGAUCUGUAGCUGGUCUGAGAGGACGACCAGCCAAACUGGGACGGAGACACGGCCCAGACCCCUACGGGAGGCAGCAGUGGGGAAUUUUGGACAAUGGGCGCAAGCCUGAUCCAGCAAUGCCGCGUGCAGGAAGAAGGCCUUCGGGUUGUAAACUGCUUUUGUACGGAACGAAAAGGUUCGGGUUAAUACCCUGGGCCGAUGACGGUACCGUAAGAAUAAGCACCGGCUAACUACGUGCCAGCAGCCGCGGUAA